rnacentral:lncRNA from 1 species
UGUUGUUGUUCUAUGCGAAGUCUGUGUACUUGUUCUGUCUUUGCAGAUCCUAGGACUCUGUAGGAAACUGCCAUUUUGAUUGUGCGGAUGGAUGUUCCCUUAAGAAGUUAUCAGUACUAAUAGAGCUGAAACCUGCUAGGAAGUUGAUCCAUCAGGAAGAGCGAGGAAAGUGUUAAUAUACAGUGAAUCUCUGUGAAGCCACUGAAAAGACCAGUGGGCCAGAAUCCAAUCAGAGACAUUGGGGAAGGGAAGAAGCUACAUCAGUGGAUAUGAGAAGAGGUACAUUUCUUCCUCGAUCAGUCCCUGAGCAACCGCAUCAGAACACUCUCUGUCUUUGCUCCCUCACCCAAGCGUGGCAAGUCAUUCUGUUCUGGAGGGUUUCCAGAAGCACUGGGAGCACAUGGAGGUUGCAUGAGGAAGCUGCCUAUUUGAUAUAUUGAAAUAUGAGAUCUCUGAACUCUUCCAGCAAUUUUUUACAACUUGUGAAAACAUCAGGGAAUAAAUGUAGUUGGUACAUCUGUAUCUGUGAAU